CUACGGGAGGCUGCAGUGGGGAAUAUUGGACAAUGGGGGGAACCCUGAUCCAGCCAUGCCGCGUGUGUGAAGAAGGCCCUCGGGUUGUAAAGCACUUUCAGUGAGGAAGAACGCCUGGUGGUUAAUACCCAUCAGGAAAGACAUCACUCACAGAAGAAGCACCGGCUAACUCCGUGCCAGCAGCCGCGGUAAUACGGAGGGUGCGAGCGUUAAUCGGAAUUACUGGGCGUAAAGCGCGCGUAGGUGGCUUGAUAAGCCGGUUGUGAAAGCCCCGGGCUCAACCUGGGAACGGCAUCCGGAACUGUCAAGCUAGAGUGCAGGAGAGGAAGGUAGAAUUCCCGGUGUAGCGGUGAAAUGCGUAGAGAUCGGGAGGAAUACCAGUGGCGAAGGCGGCCUUCUGGACUGACACUGACACUGAGGUGCGAAAGCGUGGGUAGCAAACAGGAUUAGAUACCCGAGUAGUC
rnacentral:rRNA from 1 species